rnacentral:rRNA from 1 species
AUGGAUGAUCCUGUCCAAGUACCAGAAGUAUCAGAUGAAAAAGCUGCCACAUCUUUAGAGAUGGACGAAAUCGCAUCGCAUGCGUCGGUUGGUUCUCAAGGAGUACAAGAGGAAGUGGAGGAGGUUACUGGCAGGCGCAAGCGCAAAGGAUCACAACAUGUCAAGUCUCCUUAUGUGGUCCCUAAACCGAACAAACGUGCAAAACGUUCUGCCAAAGGAAAAUUGUUCCAAAAUGGUGGUGUUAACAAAUCUGGUGAUGAGUAUGAUGUGGUGAAAGCGUCCAUCAAGUACGUGUGUGCGCAUGAGCAUUCACAAAAACAUGCCAAAACAGAAAUUUUCAAUGAUGGCAUGGAAGAAGGUCUCACUGUGCGGAGAGCUUGUCAGAUUAUUAACCAUGAGUGGCUAAGUGGCGACGUAAUUAAUGCAUACUCAUCAUUUUUGGUCGACAAAGUUAAUGAUGAUCAUUUCAUGUUGACAACUUGGAGGAUACAUUGGUUGCUUCACAUUAGACCCGGAAAGAAGACCGCCGGUAACGAUUAUGAAGCAGAGUCGCAUAGUAAUGGACCCGUGAACAAAUGUGAGGACGAGUAUUUCAAAAAAUCAAAGACUUACAUUCCUCUAAACAAGCAAAAUAAUCACUGGAUUACUGUCGUCAUGCAUAGCGGGAAGAGAGAGUUUCAGGUUCUUGACUCGUUGAUGACUGGAAAACUUGACAGUGUUACUAGAGAACUCGUUGAGGACCUGAAAACAACUAGCAGAAGAUAUCCAAGAAGCAAAUGCAACCGGAAUUGUGAAUUAUCCGGAUGUUUCCAAUUGGUCUAUUCAAACGUAUGA